rnacentral:rRNA from 1 species
AAGUCGAGCGGUCCAUUCGGGGGCAGCGGCGGACGGGUGAGUAACGCGUGGGAACGUGCCCUUUGGUACGGAACAACUGAGGGAAACUUCAGCUAAUACCGUAUGUGCCCUUCGGGGGAAAGAUUUAUCGCCAUUGGAGCGGCCCGCGUUAGAUUAGCUAGUUGGUAGGGUAAAGGCCUACCAAGGCGACGAUCUAUAGCUGGUCUGAGAGGAUGAUCAGCCACACUGGGACUGAGACACGGCCCAGACUCCUACGGGAGGCAGCAGUAGGGAAUCUUGCGCAAUGGGCGAAAGCCUGACGCAGCCAUGCCGCGUGAAUGAUGAAGGUCUUAGGAUUGUAAAAUUCUUUCACCGGGGACGAUAAUGACGGUACCCGGAGAAGAAGCCCCGGCUAACUUCGUGCCAGCAGCCGCGGUAAUACGAAGGGGGCUAGCGUUGCUCGGAAUUACUGGGCGUAAAGGGCGCGUAGGCGGACAGUUUAGUCAGAGGUGAAAGCCCAGGGCUCAACCUUGGAAUUGCCUUUGAUACUGGCUGUCUUGAGUUCGGGAGAGGUGAGUGGAAUGCCGAGUGUAGAGGUGAAAUUCGUAGAUAUUCGGCGGAACACCAGUGGCGAAGGCGACUCACUGGCCCGAUACUGACGCUGAGGCGCGAAAGCGUGGGGAGCAACAGGAUUAGAUACCCUGGUAGUCCACGCCGUAAACGAUGAGUGCUAGUUGUCGGCAUGCAUGCAUGUCGGUGACGCAGCUAACGCAUUAAGCACUCCGCCUGGG